AUUUAUUUUAAUUAUUUUACCAUAAUAAAACAAAUGUAUUGUUGACUAAGCAACACUAUUAACCAAACUUUGCUCAGAAUCGUUUGAUUAAUUGUUGCAUACAUAUAUAUAUAUUACAUUUCUUCUCCACCUUUCCAACUUCUAACUUGCUCACCCAUGUGCGAAGUAUGUUUUUUCCAUUUUUUAACUAUUGAUAAUUAAGGGAGAGAACAUAUCUGGGCAGCGUUGAGUGAAUUACAUCCCUGUUGUAAUUUAGUACUUGGUAAAUUACGUCUAUUAUGUAUAAUAGGUAAUUUG